rnacentral:lncRNA from 1 species
UGUUUAUAAAGCAAAAAAGUGGUUCGACAAUAGUUAAAAAAACACUAAAUAUUUUAUCCAAUUGUAAGGUAUUGCAAUUUGGUUCAGCCAAAAUGUUGACAAUAGAUUCACGUCAUUACCCUUUUUUUGGUAUUUUUCAUAAUGCAGACGAUUAGAGGAUCAGGCUAAAGAAUGAUAUGUUUUGUUGAUUAACACUUCAAACAGUAUUUGAAUGAUUUAAAGUUACAAAUUGAUCAUGGCAGUUUUUUUAAAGAUAAUAUUUAUAUUUUGCAGCAAAUGUAGCAUCAACAUAAAUAGAGACAAACAUAA